CCUACGGGAGGCAGCAGUGGGGAAUAUUGCGCAAUGGGGGAAACCCAGACGCAGAGACGCCGCGUGGACGAGGAAGGCCUUCGGGUUGUAAAGUCCUGUUCUGGGGGAAGAAACAAUAAGGGUCCAAUAAACCCUUAAGCU
rnacentral:rRNA from 1 species